AUCAUAGCACACGGGAGCUUGGAACCGGCCAGGCUGAGAGGAUGACCGCAUGUCGUCGACCGUAAUACCUGAUCUGGGUAAUGCCAGCGGAGGAAUCAUUACAGGCUUUGUA
rnacentral:ncRNA from 1 species